AAAAAUCUAUGGUUACCCAAAGUUGGCAUUUGAAAAUGUUUAACAUUUCAGGAAGCAACGUUUAAAACACUGGGGUCAAGUUCCAGUGA